rnacentral:rRNA from 1 species
GUGCCAGCCGCCGCGGUAAUACGUAGGGUGCGAGCGUUGUCCGGAAUUAUUGGGCGUAAAGGGCUCGUAGGCGGUUUGUCGCGUCGGGAGUGAAAUCCAUCAGCUUAACUGGUGGUCUGCUUCCGGUACGGGCAGACUGGAGGCAUGCAGGGGAGAACGGAAUUCCUGGUGUAGCGGUGAAAUGCGCAGAUAUCAGGAGGAACACCGGUGGCGAAGGCGGUUCUCUGGGCAUGUCCUGACGCUGAGGAGCGAAAGUGUGGGGAGCGAACAGGAUUAGAUACCCGGGUAGUCC